rnacentral:rRNA from 1 species
AUUGAACGCUGGCGGCAUGCCUUACACAUGCAAGUCGAACGGUAACGCGGGGGCAACCCUGGCGACGAGUGGCGAACGGGUGAGUAGCGCAUCGGAACGUGCCCAGUAGUGGGGGAUAGCUCGGCGAAAGCCGGAUUAAUACCGCAUACGACCCACGGGUGAAAGCGGGGGACCGCAAGGCCUCGCGCUAUUGGAGCGGCCGAUGCCCGAUUAGCUAGUUGGUGAGGUAAAGGCUCACCAAGGCGACGAUCGGUAGCUGGUCUGAGAGGACGACCAGCCACACUGGGACUGAGACACGGCCCAGACUCCUACGGGAGGCUG